AGACUUGGUGGCCUUCCAAUUCGGAGAGUCUGAGUUUCUCGUAUGAACAGGAAGCAUCUAUUCCUGCCAGCCCUCCACCCUCAUACGCCUCAUUAUUUUUCCAGGAAAUCCCAUGAGGCUUGAGAGUUUUACUUGCAGAUCCAGCCCCCACACUCCAGCCAAUUUGACUAAAGAACCAGACUUUUGGGUGAUUCAAGAGGCUGGAUUCUAGUACUAUUUCUGCAUCCUACUCUCUAAGUGAUCUGGGGAAAGAAAAUUCUGUAGUUUAUGCCUGCCCCGCACAAACUCCCUUUCUCUGGUAACACUUCCUCUAUUUCCAUUGUUGGGGACCACUCCUCCCCCACUCUCAGUCCGUGUGGCUCUGCUGAGAUUGUCUCGUCUCCCAAGUUCAGCCCAUGACCCAAGUCUAACAAUGAAGUAGGUAUUCCAGUUCCCCAGCAACAGUGAUUGGUUCAGGAAUGGGCGUCUGAUUCAAGGUGGACCAAUCAGAAUCCAGUCCAAGACUUUUGCUACUUUUGUUGAGAAAGAGAUUCUCUUUUCCCAGAGAUUGCUGAGCUGGUAACAUGCAAGCCUGGAUUGUCUGGGGUCUACCACGUGGGCAGAGCCUGCCUUAAAAUGAUGUCAACACAGAGGAAAGCAAAUCUAAGAGGUGGUGAGAACAAAUCCUGAUGACAUCAUUUGAAUGCCUGGAUCUACUAGUACCUGAAGUGAGACCUAUAGCUACAGUUUGUCAGUUACACUAGCCCAUAAAUUCAGAGAGAGACACAGCGAGAGAGGGAACACAAGCAGGGGGAGUGGGAGAGAGAGAAGCAGGCUCCCAGCCGAGCAGGGAGCCCGACGCGGGGCUCCAUCCCAGGACCCUGGGGUCAUGACCCGAGCCGAAGGCAGACGCGUAACGACUGAGCCACCCAGGCGCCCCUGUAUGUAUGUAUUUCUAAGACACAUUCGACUUGGAUUGCUACCACCUGUGACCAAGAAUUCUGACAAACACCGAUCACGAUACACUGGACUGGGGACAGAAGACUUCCUAUAGAAGUAUGAUGCAUCUCACUGGGGGAUGAUAUCAGCUGCAAUCCUGCGUGUCAGUGAGGAUCAAAGUGCCACUGGACCAGCUGGAACAGUUUCACCUGUUGUUACACAUGCAGAUUCUUAGGCCCCUGUCCAACCUACUGAACCAGAAACUCUGGAGGGGAGCCAAGCACUCAGUGUUUAACAAGCCCUCCUGAUGACUCUGAUGCUCACCCAAGUCCAAGAACCACUGAUGCAGACGAUGCAGAGUCAUUGAUGGUUUCUGAGCAGAGUAGCGAUUCCAUGAGAGCCGUGUUCAUCAGUGUGUAUUCAUGUAACGAAUUCUUAUUGAGAACCAAACACUGUGUUAGGCACUGGAGAUUCAAGAUCAAGUUCUGCCCUCAAAUUGCUCACGGCCAAACUCAGGAGCAGGCAAGUAAACAGAUCACAACACGAGGAUGUGAUAAAUGCUAACACGGGACGGGUGAGGGGCACCGUGCCGGGGAGGGGUAUCAGGUAAGGCCUCCCAGAGGCCAUUCUGCCUCCGCCGGAAACUGAAAAAGUAGGCAUUGUCAGAUGCAGAGCAGAGCAAGUCAAGUGCUCCUGCUGACACACUCUCUCCUUGACCAAACUUUACUGGGGCUCCCCUGAGCCCUCUUCUCAACUGGGUCUCGAUCUUAGCGCCCAUCCUGGCUUUGGUCUGCCCAGCCCAGUCUUAGCAAAGAAGCCUGCCAGGUCAUCCCCUCACCCAGGAGAUCUGAUCACCCUUGAUACCUGAGCAAAUUCCUCGUCCCUUACCCUUGAUGUCUAAGCCCUGGGCUUUAGCAAGAACCCUGUUAGGUCAGUGUAACAAAAUCCCCCUACGCUGGGCACUUCCUCUUAGUAAUUUUCCAUCCAUUGACCCCUUCCUGUGCACAUU